CAAUAGCGUAUAUUUAAGUUGUUGCAGUUAAAAAGCUCGUAGUUGGAUUUCGGUUAAGAGCGACCGGUCCGCCGUUUGGUGUGCACUGGUUGGUUUUAACUUCCUGUAGAGGACGUGCUCUGGGUUUAACGACCUGGACUCGGAGUCUACGUGGUUACUUUGAAAAAAUUAGAGUGUUCAAAGCGGGCUUACGCUUGAAUAUUUCAGCAUGGAAUAACACUAUAGGACUCCUGUCCUAUUUCGUUGGUCCCGGGACGGGAGUAAUGAUUAAGAGGAACAGUUGGGGGCAUUCGUAUUUCAUUGUCAGAGGUGAAAUUCUUGGAUUUAUGAAAGACGAACUUCUGCGAAAGCAUUUGCCAAGGAUGUUUUCAUUAA
rnacentral:rRNA from 1 species